rnacentral:rRNA from 1 species
UACGGAGGGUGCAAGCGUUAUCCGGAAUCACUGGGUUUAAAGGGUGCGUAGGCGGCGCGAUAAGUCAGGGGUGAAAGGCUAUAGCUCAACUAUGGAAUUGCCCUUGAUACUGCCGUGCUUGAAAUAAACUGAGGUUGGCGGAAUGUGACAUGUAGCGGUGAAAUGCAUAGAUAUGUCAUAGAACACCAAUUGCGAAGGCAGCUGACUAAGUUUUAUUUGACGCUGAGGCACGAAAGCGUGGGGAGCGAGCAGG